GAUGAACGCUGGCGGCGUGCCUAAUACAUGCAAGUCGAGCGAACAGACGAGGAGCUUGCUCCUCUGACGUUAGCGGCGGACGGGUGAGUAACACGUGGAUAACCUACCUAUAAGACUGGGAUAACUUCGGGAAACCGGAGCUAAUACCGGAUAAUAUAUUGAACCGCAUGGUUCAAUAGUGAAAGACGGUUUUGCUGUCACUUAUAGAUGGAUCCGCGCCGCAUUAGCUAGUUGGUAAGGUAACGGCUUACCAAGGCAACGAUGCGUAGCCGACCUGAGAGGGGGAUCGGCCACACUGGAACUGAGACACGGUCCAGACGCCUACGGGAGGCAGCAGUAGGGAAUCUUCCGCAAUGGGCGAAAGCCUGACGGAGCAACGCCGCGUGAGGGAUGAAGGUCUUCGGAUCGUAAAACUCUGUUAUUAGGGAAGAACAAAUGUGUAAGUAACUAUGCACGUCUUGACGGUACCUAAUCAGAAAGCCACGGCUAACUACGUG
rnacentral:rRNA from 1 species